rnacentral:lncRNA from 1 species
UGGCAACAUUUGUGAAUUUUUCAAUCAACGUUUCAUUGGAAAAAUUCCUUUAAUCCAAAACAUCUCGCAACACCUUGUACAACAUCAUACAUCAUCUAUUGCAACAUCUCGAUUUUGCAGUUGCAAUAUCCCAAACCCAGAAUAAAAUCAUCAUCAACCUUCGUCAAAAAAAUCAUCAUCAACCAUGCAACAUAAAAAAAGUCACUGCUGUAACAUAUCAGAUUAAAUAUUGUAACAUCAAAAAAUUGAACAUAGUAUAGAACAUCUCAAAAAUCAAUCUUGCAACAUUAGCCAACACUACUCAAAACAUCUCAAAAUACCUAUUGCAACAUCACAAAAUCUUAAUGCUACAUGGAUGAUUGGUGCCUCUCAUGGUGGAGUCUUCUUCCUCCUGGAGCAUGAUAGUGACCACCAUGGAGUCUUCCCCGCGCCUGCCGCCCGCCGCUACCCUCCACGCACAUAGCAACCUAUGCUCACUUCACUAGCACCUACUUGCUGCCACCGCCACCAGCCUUGCCACCACGUGCCUCUGCCCACACGUGACUCUUUACUUGCUGGCUGCUGCCGUCGCCGGCCUCACAUGCCGACGGCCCCACCGCUCGCGCUUGUGCCUGCCAGGCUCAUGCGCCGCCGGCCCCGCCACGCGUCGUGCGUGGCCUGUGACGAUGAGGCUCCGCGGCGCACCGGUGGCCCCUAGCCGCGGGGGAGCGGCGGCUGGCGCUCAAGCGGCCGCACGACGGAGCAACUCCCUCCGCAGCGGAGCAGCUCCUCCAGCCAGCUUUGGAGAGAGCUUUGGAGAGAGGGAGAUAGAGAGAGCUCGUGUGGAUAAAGAAGAAAGAUCAUGGGAGAGAGAUGG